rnacentral:lncRNA from 1 species
CCCGUUCGUCCCUCCUGCAAUGAUCCUACGCGGGUAUUGUGUGGGACCGCUACCGAUUAACUCUAAUAAAGCAGAUCGAGCGAGUGCAGCGUCUUGCUGCACGCUUUAUUUUU